AUAUACCCGGUAGACGGGGAGCCUGUAGCAGGGAGGGCAACACUGGCAGUCAGUCAGCAGUAGCAAGCUGGGAAAUGCAGGAAGCAAGGCUGUAACAAGGUUGUGAUGAUGGAGAGAACGAUGGGACAGCAGGUAGAACCCCUGAUGGCCUAGUGCACACUCACAAGUGCAUAAAGAGAUGUGAGGUUCAACAGCAAAAAGCAACAUACGACUUCUACUUAAGGACAGGACGGAAACGAAAUGCUGGUUCCAAAGCUGACGUGGUUCUGAGCCUCAAAGGGAGGUGUGGAGAAGGUAACAAACCCCUGACAAACGGGAAAGACAUCAUUCUAAGAAAAGGACGCGGAAGCAACUACAAGGUAACCUAACUGUUCCCGACUGGAAUGUAGUUAAGGGAUGCUGAAGCACA